GCGGGCGUAACUCAGCGGGAGAGUGUCAGCUUCCCAAGCUGAAGGUCGCGGGUUCGAAUCCCGUCGCCCGCUUUU
rnacentral:tRNA from 1 species